CGACAAAAUGCUUUAUGCAAACCUGAUAGUUUUUUUUUGCUAGAUUCUGUGGGUACCAUACUGUGAGUUUAUAGCAAGCUUUCUCUUUUGUUCUUCACAGCCCAUGCUAUGAAGUCCAGUACCCUUCGUAUCAAUGUGCUCUAAAUUCUUGAAAAUGCAACUGUGGAUGACCAUGACUCAGCACUACAAAUGAAGUAAUUACUGAAGAAUGCCAUGACAUGGAUGUCAAAAAACAUUAAACUGAGUGAAAGAAGCCAGGCCUAACAGGCUACCAAACUAAAAUGAAAACUGAAUGUUACUCUGACGGUGACCUUCGUCUCUUCACACAGAGGAGUUGGUGAAAUCUUAGAUU
rnacentral:lncRNA from 1 species